AUAAUAUGAACCUUUUUAAUUGAUUAAAAUGAAAAUUUGUCUCGAUUUUACACGUGUAAAUAAAUAUAUGUAUUUCAUGAAGUAAUCACACUAUUAACAAGCUUAUUCAAUUAAGUUAUUACUGCUUAUACAUAGAGUUUCCCUUAUCAUAAUUAAAGCGGACAUAUAAAUAGUGAUUUGUGACUUUUAUUUAAAUGCAGGUAAGAAGAAUACGAAAAGUAGAUUUACAUAAUUAAUCGAUACAGAUAUAAUUAACGUUCCGUCUCAUAAAGGUGAGCGGAAAAUAAUGCAUUUGGACGGCAAUUGAUUGCGCGCUGACACCACUCAUGAAGCGCACAUUAUGCGCCGUCUUUUAUUUGGUUCAAGUUGCGCAAGAAAUGUAUAAGUUUUCUCACGGAAGUUGAUCUCGCGCGCGAGGCGGAUAUCAGCGAAGUGUACUAUACGAAUAAUAAAAAAUAAUGAUAAACUCCGUCAUAUUUCUUCUAAUACAGUGUCGUAUUUCUUGUAAACGUAAACCCAUUUAAUUUUAGUUUAGUAUUACUGAUAGGAACAUGUAAAGUAUGAUGCGUUAUGACAAAUAUGCGGAGACACAACAUUGACAGAUCAAUGUAUUUGAUUAGAAUGUUGUGGUUUACUCUAGAUACGCGUAUCUAACUACAGUUCAAACUUAAUGUGAUAUUUAAACAAAUUUUAUUGCUAUUUAUAGAACUAUUUAUUAUAAUAAAAUUGUAUACAUGUUC